AGCUCUGUAAGCGUAUACCAAAGUUGUUGCAGUUAAAACGCUCGUAGUCGGAUUUUGGGUGUUUCUGGGGAGUGUGCAUGUCAUGUGCGUGCUUUCCGGGGGCUACUUUAGUGGACAUGCGACGGAUGACGCGACUUUAUUGUUGAACGUCUGUUUGCUACCACCUUUUACUGUGAAAAAAUUUGAGUGUUCAAAGCAGGCAUUUUGUCUUGAAAACAUUAGCAUGGAAUAAUUGAAUAGGACUUGGUCUUAUUUUGUUGGUUUGUUGUUAUGGCUGAGUAAUGAUUAAAAGGGACAGUUGGGGGCAUUUGUAUUUCAGAGCUAGAGGUGAAAUUCUUAGAUUUCUGAAAGACAAACCGCUGCGAAAGCGUCUGCCAAGGAUGUUUUCA
rnacentral:rRNA from 1 species